AAAUGAUUUUUAGUAACGUAAAAGUUAAAUAUAUUUAUACAAACUAUAAUACGGAAACCAAAGUAUGAAAUUUAAUUUACAGUGCUACAUGGGCCCACAAAUGAACAAAAGUAGUAAAGAUAGUAAACCUACAGUUUUUGAAGUAGUAUGGCCAACUAUAGUUCUCGACGAUGUCUGUUAUCUACAAGCUAACCCGGCCUGAAAUGAU
rnacentral:lncRNA from 1 species